UGAAACACGGACCAAGGAGUCUAGCAUGUGCGCGAGUCAUUGGGAACACAGAUAAACCCAGAGGCGAAAUGAAAGUGAAAGGCCGGGCCUCGCGCCCGGCCACCAGGGAAGAUGCGCGGGCGGCUCCGUACGCCCCGCCGCAUUCCCGAGGCGUUUCGAGAAAGCCACCGUGCGAUUAUCGAGACGCACUGAGAGCGUACACGCUGGGACCCGAAAGAUGGUGAACUAUGCCUGGUCAGGUCGAAGUCAGGGGAA
rnacentral:rRNA from 1 species